rnacentral:rRNA from 1 species
UACGGGGGGAGCAAGCGUUGUUCGGAUUUACUGGGCGUAAAGGGCGCGUAGGCGGCCUCCGCAAGUCAGUUGUGAAAUCUCCGAGCUUAACUCGGAAAGGUCAACUGAUACUGCGGGGCUAGAGUGCGGAAGGGGCAACUGGAAUUCUUGGUGUAGCGGUGAAAUGCGUAGAUAUCAAGAGGAACACCUGCGGCGAAGGCGGGUUGCUGGGCCGACACUGACGCUGAAGCGCGAAAGCCAGGGGAGCGAACGGG